rnacentral:misc_RNA from 1 species
GGGUUGCUAGCAAUAUGUAUGAAUAUGCAUUCUCUUCCUUUUAUUUGCUUCAUUUCUAUCUUCACAUUAGAUCUGAGAACCUGGAUUUAUCCUUCACUUUUCCCCUCCAACAUCUAGCCCCUGACUCCUGUCUAUUGUCUUUUCAUGUGGAAGCCUGAUGGUUUCUCGGACUCGUCUUCUCUCCCUUUUAGUUUUUUACUGUUCUUAUAUACAUAUCUGGUUGUAUUUAUUAAGAUUACCUUCUUUUUCUCUUUGUUUUUUAAUUAAGGGAUUGAUAAAAUGUACUUUCCCUCUCACCAAAAAAUAGUGCUCCCUGUAGUUUUGUAAAUAGUGAGAGUGUAUUUAGUCACUAAUAGGUCCUUGCAAUCUCAGCAUAUUGGUUUUUUAAUUUUUUUUUGAUAAUGUAUAUCAUUUUUCUCCAUUCCCAUGGCCCAACAUGGAAGCAAGAAUAAGGAGGCAAAUGAGAAUUUUGUUGCUAUCAAUGAUCACGUGUAAUUUGUAUGCUUCUGCGCUGUUCCAAUUUGUGUCAUUCAAUUUUAUAAAACUUUAAUCCUUUCCUUGUUGUCCUACCUUCAAACUGUGUUUUGAUUUUCUUUUCUAGCAAGAGCUAUUUAAUAAUUAAAUUUUGUGAUGGUAUUUUACCUUGGAGGACAUUGUUUCCAAUUCUCUGUCUUUAUUGUGCAGGCUAAAAUGGAAUUAUU